UGGAUUUUGCAGGAGGGCGCACGACCGGGCUUUGCUCAGGCCGCGCGCCUACCUGUUUUUUGUCGGGGACUACGCCACUCUUAACUGGGGGGCGCUAGGACGCGGCUCGUUUACUUUGAAAAAAUUAGAGUGUUCAAAGCAGGCCUUUGCUUGAAUACAUUAGCAUGGAAUAAUGGAAUAGGACUUUGGUUCUAUUUUGUUGGUUUCUGGAACCGAAGUAAUGAUUAAUAGGGAUAGUUGGGGGCGUUUAUAUUUCCAUGUCAGAGGUGAAAUUCUUGGAUUUUGGAAAGAUAAACUUCUGCGAAAGCMUUCGCCAAGGAUGUUUUCAUUAAUCAAGAACGAAAGUUAGGGGAUCGAAGACGAUCAGAUACCGUCGUAGUCUUAACCAUAA
rnacentral:rRNA from 1 species